rnacentral:lncRNA from 1 species
GUGACCACGGCCACGACAUGAAAGAAUGCAUCCAGCUCCGAGACGAGAUCGAGGAGCUCAUCCGAUGAGGUCGGCUCGACAGAUUCAUUCGACAUCGGCCUGAGGGUAGAGAAGAUCGGCCAAGGGCCCUGCCGCAGCCUGAGCCGCCAAGGAGGGAAGAGCAGCCCGGAUAUCGACCUCCAAUCGGGAUCAUCAACUCCGUCUCUGGAGGACCCCGACAGGGAGCAGACCUUCCACAGUGCU